CCGACGGUGAGGGGCGAAAGCUGGGGGCACGAACCGGAUUAGAUACCCGGGUAGUCCCAGCCGUAAACGAUGCUCGCUAGGUGUCCGGGAUGGUGCGACCGUUUCAGGUGCCGCAGGGAAGCCGUGAAGCGAGCCACCUGGGAAGUACGGCCGCAAGGCUGAAACUUAAAGGAAUUGGCGGGGGUGCACUACAACGGGUGGAGCCUGCGGUUUAAUUGGACUCAACGCCGGAAAACUCACCUGGGGC
rnacentral:rRNA from 1 species